CCUACGGGUGGCAGCAGUGAGGAAUAUUGGUCAAUGGGCGCGAGCCUGAACCAGCCAAGUAGCGUGAAGGAUGACUGCCCUACGGGUUGUAAACUUCUUUUAUAUGGGAAUAAAGUGCAGUAUGUAUACUGCUUUGCAUGUACCUUAUGAAUAAGGAUCGGCUAACUCCGUGCCAGCAGCCGCGGUAAUACGGAGGAUCCGAGCGUUAUCCGGAUUUAUUGGGUUUAAAGGGAGCGUAGGCGGGUUGUUAAGUCAGUUGUGAAAGUUUGCGGCUCAACCGUAAAAUUGCAGUUGAUACUGGCAGCCUUGAGUACAGUAGAGGUAGGCGGAAUUCGUGGUGUAGCGGUGAAAUGCUUAGAUAUCACGAAGAACUCCGAUUGCGAAGGCAGCCUGCUGGACUGUAACUGACGCUGAUGCUCGAAAGUGUGGGUAUCAAACAGGAUUAGAUACCCUGGUAGUC
rnacentral:rRNA from 1 species